rnacentral:rRNA from 1 species
AGCGCAGGCGGGAAAGUAAGUCUAUCUUAAAAGUGCGGGGCUCAACCCCGUCGAGGGGAUAGAAACUAUUUUCUUGAGUGCAGGAGAGGAAAGCGGAAUUCCUAGUGUAGCGGUGAAAUGCGUAGAUAUUAGGAGGAACACCAGUGGCGAAGGCGGCUUUCUGGACUGUAACUGACGCUGAGGCUCGAAAGCCAGGGGAGCGAACG